rnacentral:lncRNA from 1 species
GCGUGCACAGUCCCCUGCUUUUGCUCUCUGUUCCUCGGAAGUGGCAGUUGCAUUUUUCUCCUCAUUUGUGCCACCUGUGCAAGCACAGAGAUCUUUCCCGUCGUUUAUACUUGUGCUGUAUUUCGUUCUCCAGGAGAUGUUUGUCCCGGUGCAAUCACUGCAGCCCCUGCAGCCAAGGGUGCCCGAUCCCAACCUGUCGGAGUAGGAGAGGCAGUGGAAAAUGCAAGUUUUGCAGGAUGAAAUCAGGAGUGACACGAUGUCAAGAUGAUGAAAAACUCCAAAUUACCUGAAGUUUAUUGGAGCAUCCUUAUAUCAUACACAUGUUCAAGAAAGGCAACUGAGGUAUGUUGUUGUGGAAAUGGUAAGUAAGCCCACCACCUGUUGUGGCAGGGAAAUCAGUGGU